rnacentral:RNase_P_RNA from 1 species
GAAGUCGGCCGGAUGGCCGCUGCGCGCCGUCUGACGGUGCGGAGAGGAAAGUCCGGGCUCCACAGGACACGGUGGUGGGUAACUCCCACCGGCCGCAAGGCCAGGGACAGUGCAACAGAAAGCAUACCGCCUCAGAGUUCUCGACCGGUGCGACCUGAACAAGGUUUCCUUGUCGGCAUCACUGGGGUAAGGGUGAAAUGGUGCGGUAAGAGCGCACCAGCAGCCGGGCGACCGGCUGGCUCGGCAAACCCCCCGGGAGCAAGGCCAAAUAAGGGGGCAGGACUGGUCCGGUCCGCUACGACCCUCGGGUAGGCCGCUUGAGCCGACGAGCAAUCGUCGGCCUGGAUAAAUGGCCAUCGCCGCGCGUUACCGCGUGGUACAGAACCCGGCUUACAGGCCGGCUUCGCCA